CAGGGAAUAGUUUAUUAAAAUUUUAAUUUUGGAGAUUAAAGAUAAGGUAACAGGUCCUUUUCUCUGA
rnacentral:tRNA from 1 species